CAGUAGCCACGGUAAUACGGAGGAUCCAAGCGUUAUCCGGAAUCAUUGGGUUUAAAGGGUCCGUAGGCGGUCUUGUAAGUCAGUGGUGAAAGCCCAUCGCUCAACGGUGGAACGGCCAUUGAUACUGCAGGACUUGAAUUAUUGGGAAGUAACUAGAAUAUGUAGUGUAGCGGUGAAAUGCUUAGAGAUUACAUGGAAUACCAAUUGCGAAGGCAGGUUACUACCAAUUGAUUGACGCUGAUGGACGAAAGCGUGGGUAGCGAACAGGAUUAGAUACCCCUGUAGUCCCUGUCUCUUAUAU
rnacentral:rRNA from 1 species